CAGGCUCUGGAGGGGAUAGAACCCUGAAGGGCCUGCGCCAGCUCCAACUUAGGGCCCUGUGCGUCGUUGCGACUGCCGCUACCACCCCAUCACGCGGCACCUCCGCCCCAACUCCGCCCGGGUCUCUGAGGAGGCAAUAGGCCUUUCAUCUCCCGGGAAAGUCUCACCUUGGCCCUCAGACACCCGCCAAGAGGGGUCGGAAGGACAGAAUUAGCAUAGAGAAGAGGGGCUAGAGCACUUUUCAGGCUCUGGCCCCAGGAAUCCUUGACAGGAAGCGUGGGGUUGCUGCCCAGCCUGCCACGCAGUGUAAUAUAUUGAAGCCGGGCCCUUUUGAGGGAAUGCGACUUCCUUGGGCCGAGGGGGAAAGAGCAGUGCCUGAUGGCUGAGAAGAAUCGCGGAGGACUAGAAAAGGUUUGAGUCUGAAAUUAUCUGCCACAGAGAGUUAGAGCUCAGAAAUAAGUUAUUGUGAAACAGUUCAACUUCCAUGUUAACGACAACGACAAUAACAACAACACGCUUAUUAAUUCCUAGCUGGAGCAUCAAGCUUAUGAAGAUUUCCAAGUAAGACUUUAUUGUUGACCCUUGUUGAAGAGAACUCUACUUGGCUUCGUUCCUGGCUUUCCUAAAUUGUUCACAUACAAGAUAAACUACCAUCAUUCAGACUUACAGAAGUGAGAAGACAAGCUGAACCAAAUGUAAAAUGGUAGCAAUUUACAGAUGUCAGAACUAACAUGUGGAUGAACUUCGAGAUGGAGAAGAAAACUGGGCUUUUCCAAAGAGUGGAUCUAUCUGAACUGGAUAGCACUAUUGAACUUCGUUGCAUAUUUUGUGGUAGCUCUAAAACUCCUUUGCUUGCUUACUUUUAAAUGCAAUGUGUUGCUGUACAUACAUACAACCAGACACCAGUGCCUUCUGCAGCUAAUCCAGGCCAUUUUUAUAACCUAAUGCAGUAGCACUUUGCAAUUAGAUGAAGAUCAGUGGGAUUUCUUUCUGUGGUGAUUAAAAUGUGUCAGGGGAAGAAUCAAGACAAUACUCCAAGUGAAAAAUAUAAAGUCAGUUAUUUCUUUAAUAUUUUG
rnacentral:antisense_RNA from 1 species